rnacentral:rRNA from 1 species
GACGAACGCUGGCGGCGCGCCUAACACAUGCAAGUCGAACGGAGCUGAGAGAAGCUUGCUUUUCUUAGCUUAGUGGCGAACGGGUGAGUAACGCGUGAGUAACCUGCACUGGGGUGGGGGACAACAGUUGGAAACGACUGCUAAUACCGCAUAAGCCCACGAUACGGCAUCGGAUUGAGGGAAAAGGAUUUAUUCGCUUCAGGAUGGACUCGCGUCCAAUUAGCUAGUUGGUGAGGUAACGGCCCACCAAGGCGACGAUUGGUAGCCGGACUGAGAGGUUGAACGGCCACAUUGGGACUGAGACACGGCCCAGACUCCUGCGGGAGGCAGCAAUGGGGGAUAUUGCACAGUGGGGGAUACCCUGAUGCAGCGACGCCGCGUGGAGGAAGAAGGUUUUCGGAUUGUAAACUCCUGUCGUUAGGGACGAUAAUGACGGUACCUAACAAGAAAGCACCGGCUAACUACGUG